ensembl:lncRNA
AACAAAUUCAACAGAACAACAUGAUGAUGGAAAACGAACAACCGUCAGAUGAGACACAACCUUCAACAGCAACAGAUGGCAAACUAGAAAACAUGGAUGAGCAAAAACAACGGAUGACAGAAAUAAUCGCUGACAUUAAAAACCUCUUGAAGGAUGCAGAAGUACAAAGCAGAGAGAAACUAACAGACGGAACAUCUACAUUUGACCUUUUGGAAACCCAACUUUGCCAAAUUCAGGAAAACAUGGAAAAUAAUUUUAAUGAACUUAAAGAAUAUUCAAUACAAGUCCAAUCUGAAAAAUCUCAGAUUGAAACAAUCAAAAUUAGGAUGAAAGCAGAUAGAUUAGACAUAGAGAGAAACAGGAAACUAAUUGAUACUGAAAUGGAUGCACUGAAGAAUACAAGAAAGACUAUUGAAGGUGAAAUGAAAGAGUUAGACAACAAGUUACAAAGAGUAAAGAGAGAAAUCAGAGAGAUGGAGUGGUGAGCAGGGAAGUCCAAAUGAAGAAAAUCGAUCUGGAGAAGAUGAUAAGAAGGAACAGGAAGAGAAAAGAAGACACAUCCAUUAAGACUGAGGAAGCAAGAAAAACUGUGCAAGACACAGAGGAAGAACAAAAGAAGACAAGAGAGGAAAGUCUGCCGCGGUUCCUGCACGUUUGUGAUCAAUGUAAAUCCAAGCAAAUGAAAUGGGUUUAUUUUCAGGCAAAGAAAAAGAGACGAGAGCUCGACUGUCGGUUAGAGAAGACAAUAAGACAGAGAGACGAGUUAGAAAUCACAAAGAUCCAAAUACAAAAACAAAAAGAAGACGUUGAAAGACAAAAACAAGACGUCAUGACUUCAGUCCUUACGAUGGCCAAAGUGAAGGAUAACAUGGAAAAUGGAUAUGAAGAAAUCAGAAACCUCAUGGAGGACGUGCUCAGAAUCAAAUCGAGUAUGGCAGACUACAGCAGAGAAUUAAAGAAAUACCAGGAGACUUUUGCCUGCAUGAAAGAUCAAGUCAACUCAUGGAAAAUGAGAACGGCCUCAGCUGAAGCAGCUUUUCUUUGAAAAAAAAGCAGCAUUUUAACGUUUGCAUUGAAGCCCCCUGGGAUUGGAAAGUGAUGUUUGCACCAAAUCCCUGAAAAACCUAAAGUUCUAAUCAUAAUGGUAAAUUUGAGUGUAUUUGCAAUAUUAACCUUUAUAAAUUCAUAAAAAUGUUUUGUAGUAUUUGUGUUUGCACUUACUGCUUUCUGUGCAUUCUUUUUUUGUUGUUGUUAAAUUACAUAUUUUCAUUUUUUACUUAUGACCAAAUUAAGCCACUAGUUUUAUUUUGUUUCCCUUCAAAUCUUAUUUAAAAGAAAAUGAUUUUGACUUAAAAAAAAAUGUAAUUGUUGUGUUACUAUUAAGCACUUUUUGUUUUCAUUUGAAAAAAAACUUUCAAACUAAACAAUGUUAUGUAUUUGAGAUUGUUUUAUUGUGCUUUAAAUAACUUUAAAUUCAUUUGAUGAAAUUACUUUCGGACUCUUGUUUAUUCAUUGAGAAUUGCCUGUGGUUUCAGUCAUGUUUCAGUGAUUUAAUUGUAAUGGGGUUGGAAAUUAUAAUGUAUCUGUUGAGCUGAG